rnacentral:rRNA from 1 species
CAUUGGAUCCAGACUUUGAUUCUGGCUCAGGAUGAACGCUAGCUACAGGCUUAACACAUGCAAGUCGAGGGGAAACGACAUCGAAAGCUUGCUUCUGAUGGGCGUCGACCGGCGCACGGGUGAGUAACGCGUAUCCAACCUGCCCAUCACUUGGGGAUAACCUUGCGAAAGUAAGACUAAUACCCAAUGAUAUCUCUAGAAGACAUCUGAAAGAGAUUAAAGAUUUAUCGGUGAUGGAUGGGGAUGCGUCUGAUUAGCUUGUUGGCGGGGUAACGGCCCACCAAGGCAGCGAUCAGUAGGGGUUCUGAGAGGAAGGUCCCCCACAUUGGAACUGAGACACGGUCCAAACUCCUACGGGAGGCAGCAGUGAGGAAUAUUGGUCAAUGGACGAGAGUCUGAACCAGCCAAGUAGCGUGCAGGAUGACGGCCCUAUGGGUUGUAAACUGCUUUUAUAAGGGAAUAAAGUGAGACUCGUGAGUCUUUUUGCAUGUACCUUAUGAAUAAGGACCGGCUAAUUCCGUGCCAGCAGCCGCGGUAAUACGGAAGGUCCGGGCGUUAUCCGGAUUUAUUGGGUUUAAAGGGAGCGUAGGCCGGAGAUUAAGCGUGUUGUGAAAUGUAGACGCUCAACGUCUGCACUGCAGCGCGAACUGGUUUCCUUGAGUACGCACAAAGUGGGCGGAAUUCGUGGUGUAGCGGUGAAAUGCUUAGAUAUCACGAAGAACUCCGAUUGCGAAGGCAGCUCACUGGAGCGCAACUGACGCUGAAGCUCGAAAGUGCGGGUAUCGAACAGGAUUAGAUACCCUGGUAGUCCGCACGGUAAACGAUGGAUGCCCGCUGUUGGUCUGAAUAGGUCAGCGGCCAAGCGAAAGCAUUAAGCAUCCCACCUGGGGAGUACGCCGGCAACGGUGCAACUCAAAUGAAUUGACGGA